GAGGGUAUAGCUCAGGGGCAGAGUGUGUGCUUAGCGUGUACAAGGUCCUGGGUUCAAUUUCCAGAAACUCCA
rnacentral:tRNA from 1 species